UACGGGGGGAGCAAGCGUUGUUCGGAAUUACUGGGCGUAAAGGGCGCGUAGGCGGCUCUGAUCGUCGGAUGUGAAAGGCCUGGGCUCAACCUGGGAAUGGCAUCCGAUACGGCGGGGCUGGAGUGUGGGAGAGGUUGGUGGAAUUCCCAGUGUAGAGGUGAAAUUCGUAGAUAUUGGGAAGAACACCGGUGGCGAAGGCGGCCAACUGGACCACAACUGACGCUGAGGCGCGAAAGCUAGGGGAGCAAACGGG
rnacentral:rRNA from 1 species